CGGCGCGCCUAACACAUGCAAGUCGAACGAUUAAGCCGGAUGCUUGUACCGGGUGGAUUAGUGGCAAACGGGUGAAUCUCACGUGCAUCACCUCCUGUGGACUGUGGUAUAAGCCUGGGAAACUGGCUCUAAUCCCGUAUACAACCACUCACCGUAUGGGGUCCUUGUGGAAAGCUUUAGCGUGUUUGUAUGGACUCGCCCCCUAUCACCUUGACUGUGAGGUAAUGGCUCACCGUACCAAUGACACGAUACCCGGCCUGACAUGGGUAACCUGAUCACACUGGGACUGACACACAGACCAGACUCCUUCCUAAGGCAGGCAUGGGGAAUAUUUCACAAUGGGCUGAAAGCCUGAUUCAUUGACGCCUGUUGUGUGAUGACAAGACUUCUUUUUGAAAACCACUUUCAUGCAUGGAAGAAACUUAUAUGUGACCGGACCUGCUAGAACGAAGCUCCGGCUAACUAUCGUGCCAGCAGCCGCGGUAAUACGUAUGGCGCGAGCGUUAUCCAGAAUUAUAUGGGCGUAAAGAGCUCGCAGGCGGUCCGUCGAGUCUGAUGUGAAAGCCCACGGCUCAACCGUGGAUGUUCAGUGGAUACUGGCAGACUAGAGUGCAGUAGAGGAGACUGGAAUUCCUCGUGUAGCGGUGAAAUGCGCAGAUAUCAGGAGGAACACCGAUGGCGAAGGCAGGUCUCUGGUCUGUAACUGACGCUGAGGAGCGAAAGCAUGGGGAGCGAACAGGAUUAGAUACCCUGGUAGUCCAUGCCGUAAACGAUGAGCACUAGGUGUGAGGGACAUUCCACGUUCUACGCGCGCAAGCUAAGCCAUUAAGUGCCCCCCCUGGGGAGUACGGCGGCAAGGCUAAAACUCAAAGGAAUUGACGGGGGCCCGCCCAAGCGGCGGAGCAUGCGGAUUAAUUCGAUGCAACGCGAAGAACCUUACCAAGGCUUGACAUACACCGGACCGCCCUAGAGAUAGGGUUUCCCUUCGGGGCUGGUGUACAGGUGGUGCAUGGUUGUCGUCAGCUCGUGUCGUGAGAUGUUGGGUUAAGUCCCGCAACGAGCGCAACCCUUUUCAUAUGUUUCCACAUCAUAAUGGUGGGCACUCAUGGGAGACUGCCGGGGUCAACUCGGAGGAAGGUGGGGACGACGUCAAAUCAUCAUGCCCCUUAUGUCUUGGGCUUCACGCAUGCUACAAUGGCCGGUACAGUGGGUUGCAAUCCUGCGAAGUGGAGCCAAUCCCUAAAAACCGUUCUCAGUUCGGAUCGCAGUCUGCAACUCGCCUUCRUGAAGCCGGAGUCGCUAGUAAUCGCGGCUCAGCAAUGCUCCGGGAAAUACGUUCCGAUCCUUGUAAACCCCCCCCGUAAACCCACAAAGUUUUUAAACCCAAAUC
rnacentral:rRNA from 1 species